GACCCAUUGUUCACGGGCCAAUAUCGGGUCGGACUCAAACGGGUUACGUCGGCCCGUUUUGCCAUCCUACCUCACUGAACUUCACACACUCCCGCUCAAACUUCUCUCUUCUUCCCCAACUACUCUCUGCCUUGUUCGUUCGUUCCUCAAUUCCACUAUGGACGAAUCCUCGUUGCAAUUCGUCUCCGAAAUAGGAAGACACCUUGCUCAACGAACUCGUCCCAGCAAGGACUUCAUCGUCAAAUCCCUCAGAAAAGCUGCAAAUGCUUUGUCUCAGAUAAAACAGUCUCCUCAACCGCGGACGGCCAAGGAAUUACAAGCUGCAAAGAAACAAGAAGAUGCUUUGAAGCCCCUGUCAAAUGCUGUGGUUUGUGGUGGUCUGCUUCAACAUGCAGAUAAGGAAGUUAGACUUCUGGUUGCCAUGUGUGUCACCGAGCUCUUUAGACUUAUGGCACCUGAACCGCCUUUUGAAGACGAGCAUUUGAGGGAUGUAUUUAAACUCAUCAUUAAUUUGUUUGAGGAUCUGGCUGAUACUGCAAGUCCAUUCUUUUCAAAAAGGGUUAAAGUAUUGGAGAUAAUGGCUCAACUAAAGUGUUGUGUGAUAAUGCUGGAGAUUAACUGCCUUGACCUAGUUCUUGAGAUGUUCAAUAUUUUCUUCUCAGUUGUGAGAGAUGAACAGCUUCUCAUUAGUGCCAUGACUUCUAUAAUGAUAAACAUUUUGUAUGAGAGUGAAGAGGCUUUUCAGCAACUAUUAGGAGUGGUUUUACUAAAUCUUGUUAAGCAAAAAGGGGAUGGAAAUUUUGCUGCUGAAAACCUUGCUGCAUCAGUCAUCAAAACUUGUGCGCAAGAGGAUGAGCUAAACCUCCUAGCUUGUGGGUUUCUAGUUUCUUGUAUACACGACAGAGAUGCUAUGGGCAGUGGGCUUAAACAAUAUUACUAUGAAAUUUUCUCAAAAGUUUUCGAGUGUGCGCCUGAGAUGCUUCUGUCUGUCAUCCCAAGUUUAAUUAAAGAAUUAUCGGCUGAUGAGGUUGAUGUUCGGAUAAAAGCUGUGAAUUUGGUGGGGAAGCUUUUUGCACUUCAACAUCGUGUUGCUCAGAAGUAUCCUGAUCUUUUUGUGGAGUUUUUGAAAAGAUUUUCUGAUAAAUCUGUGGAUGUUAGGAUUAGUGCUCUACAAUGUGCUAAAGUUUUCUAUUUAGCAAAUCCCUAUGAUGGCACAGAAUCACGUGAAAUUAUGACUUCUGUUGAAGAUAGAUUAUUAGACUCUGAUGAACAAGUGAGAAAGCAAGCAGUGUUUGUUGCCUGUGAUAUUUUUAGUUCAAACCUGAAACUUGUUUCAUCCAAAUUACUAUCUCAUGUUUCUGAAAGACUCCGGGAUAUAAAGAUAACUGUUAGAAAGAGUGCCUUGCAAAAGUUGGUAAGGGUAUAUCGUGAUUACUGCAAGAAAUGUUACGAAGGUAGCAUGAAAAUUAGUAAUCACUUUGAAGAGAUUCCUUGUAAAAUUAUGUUGCUGUGCUAUGAUAAAGAUUGUAAGGAGUUCAGGUUCCAGAACUUGGAAUUUGUUCUUGCUGAUGAUCUAUUCCCAGAAGAUCUUCCUAUUGAAGAAAGGACAAACCAUUGGAUACACAUGUUUUCUCUUUUCAAUUUUCCUCAUGAAAAGGCGUUCAAUACUAUUUUGGCUCAAAAGAGAAGGUUCCAAAAUGAAAUGAAAAACUAUUUGGCUACGAAGAAGAAAAUGAAGGAUAUUUGUCUUGAAGAAAUGCAGAAGAAGAUUGAUAGCAUGUUUACAAAAAUGGCAGCAUUCUUCCCGGAUUCUCACAAAGCUGAAGAGUGUCUGCAUAAGUUAAACCAAAUUAAAGAUAAUAGUGUGUUUCAGUUACUUGAAAAAUUGUUGGAGGAACAAGCCUUCACCACGAUUGGGCAAACUAUGAAAGAUAAACAUCUGGCAAUGAUUGGAGACAGCAAUCCAACUUACGAGUUUUUACGUCCACUAUUCUCCAAAUGUUCAUCCAACAUUUUCAGCUCAGAGCAUGUCAGAUGCAUCUUAGAUUAUCUUACCAAUAAUGAAAAUGAAAAUAGGACUUUGGAGGAUUCUUCUGCAAAUUUUCUGCUGGCUAUUGUUCGAUAUUUCCCUUCUAUGCUGAAAGGCUCGGAAAAGCAGUUCUUAUUGUUGUUGGAACAGAAAAGUCCUGUUAAUGACAAGCUGAUUGAAGUUAUGGCAAAGGCAGGCUGUCAUAUGUCUUUCAAUCAUAGUGAUAUUUAUCCAUUUUUAAGGGGAAUUUGCUUGGAAGGAACACGCGGACAGGCUAAAUUUGCGGGGUCUGCAAUUGUUGCUUUAUGCUCCGAACAGUCACUUUUUAGAAAGUUGUUUGAGGAGCUAAUUGAUUCCUUAUAUAGUGAGCGGAAUGUCCCUACUAUUUUGCAAUCUUUGGGAUGCAUUACACAAUAUGUUUCCAAUUUUGAAACUCAAGUUGAAGAGAUCACGUCAUAUAUAUUCCAGAAGAUCAUUCAAAUGGAGCAUUUGGAUGAUGGUCAUUGUGCGACAUCCUUUCAUGAUACUGCUCAAUGUAGUGAUUUUUGUCAGUUAAAGAUUUAUUGGCUGAAAGCUCUUGUGAAGAUUUCUUUGCAUUAUGAAGGGAGUCAUGUUGAGCGUAGUAUUAAUGGAUUGAUGGAAAUUUUGUCAAGAAUGCUACGAGAAAGUGAUUAUUUCGUCAAUACAACUGCUAGCUCCUGUGAAAAUGAUAAGGCUCAUAUUAAAUUAGCUGCUGCAAAAGCAAUCCUGCGCCUUGCUAGAAAGUGGGAUUUACAUAUUACUCCUCAGACUUUUCAGUUUUGUAUAUUGAUUGCAAAGGACUCCUCUUUGUUUGUUAGGGGCACAUUUCUUCGUAAGAUCCAAAAGUUGUUGAAGGAGCAUAAACUACCAAUGAGAUUUGCAUGUGCUUUUGCUUUGGCAGCAACAAAUGGCACCGGCGAUCAGCAAUAUCAGACCUACAAGUAUAUGGCAGAGUUUAUAAGGGAUUACACUAUAUCAGCCCGUAAACGAGAAACUUCUUCUGUUCAAGGAGUCAUCAUUGAUUGCCCAGCAUAUGUUUUGGUCUUCUUGAUUCAUGUGCUUUCUCGGAAUAAUGAAUUUCCAUUUGAAGUCUGUCCAGACGAAAAAAUUUAUGCUGAUAUUUGCAGUCCACUUUUCUUUAUCCUGCAGGCAUUAGUUGAUAUCAAUAUUGUUGAUGGUGACUUGGACAUUGUUGAUGAUGCUAUCCUGCAUAUAGUUAGUAUUUUUCGAGCAAUCAGAAAGGUUGAGGAUGGUGUUGAUGCACAGAUGACAACUAAGCUGCAUAUGCUGGCUGAAAUUGGGAUAUUUAUAUUAAAUGAAUUAAGCCACGGAGGAAUAUCCAAAUUGCAAACACCUGGACAAAUUUUAUUGCCUUCAUCAUUAUAUAGAGUGAGUCCUGUUAAGAUUGAUACUAGUUCAAAAUGUCCGACGUCAUGUUUUGAUGAAAAUUUUCUAAGUAGAAUUUUCCAAGCACUUAAGGAAUUUACGUUGGCUCAUCCACAAGCUCAAAAGACUGCAAAAAAAUUUCCUGAGCAUCAAAAGGGUCAACAUGAUGUUAAAAAGUCUAAUAUUAAUAUUGGUGGUGUAUUGGACUUGGCAUCUUGCAAACCAAAUGAUUUGUCAAGGAGAGAAAUAACAAAUGCUAAAACUGUGAAGCUAGACAUCCCUUCGGUGAAAAGGAGAAAAUGUGUGCCUGUAUCUGUUGGUUUGCAUGAAUGCUCUACGAUCGAGAAGCAACAAAAGAUACCAUCAAAACAUUUUGGAAAGACAAAAGAGAGCAACCUGCUUUCAUCAAGUGAUUCUGCUUGCUCUAAGGGUUCUCUGUAUGAAUCACAUGUGCAAACCCGUAAUUCAAAAAGAGCUGCUGCUUGUUCAUUGGAGAAUGCUGUGACAAAUAGCAAACAUAUUGUCGAACCUUUCAAAUGUCCUAGAACCAAACGGAAAGAUACAAGUGGCUCAAAGAAACAGGAUGUACUAGAAGAUGUUUCAAAUAAAAUUAAUUUCAUCCCCCGGGUCAUUACACGAAACGCGAUGGAGAAGCGCAUUGAUGGCCUUGAACAACAACUCGCGGAGUUAAGAAACUUGAUCAUUGCUUGUAACAGGUCUCGCAGUGGCCGACCUCACACACAACGUUCGCACAGACGACGGAAGGUGCAUGAUGAGGAUAAUGGUGAUGUGGAGCGUGACGACAACUCACGUUCGACGAUACGGAGUAGUAGUGGCGAGUCGUCGAGGGAUUUCGGAGGACGGAAACUCAAGAUACCCAUCUUCCAUGGUGAUGACGCUUAUGGAUGGAUCGUUCGAGCUGAACGAUACUUCAAAUUGAACUGGGUGCACGAAGAAGAAAAGCUCGAUGCAGUGGUAAUCGCAUUGGAGGAUAAGGCCCGGAGUUGGUAUCAGUGGUGGGAAGAACAAAGUAAGGAGCUCAACUGGGAGGAAUUUAAAGGAGCGUUGAUUCGACGCUUCCAACCAGGGUUGGUCCAAAACCCGUUUGGUCUGUUGUUGAGUAUUAAGCAAAGUAGUUCCGUAAUGAAAUACAGAGAAAAAUUUGAACGUGAAUCGGCUCCAUUGAAGAAGGAGGAAAGGAUUAUGUUGAAGGGAAUUUUCAUCAAUGGGUUGAAAGAAGAGAUCCAAGCUGAAUUGAAACUCUAUGCCACGGGCACAUUCGACGAGUUGAUGGACCGAGCUUUAUUGUUAGAAGAAAAGAAUAAUGCCUUACGCAAGGUUGGGUUGAUGGGCUCAAAGAAGGUGGGUGACAAACCACCUAUGAAACAGGCGAAAGGGUUCACUAGAUGGGCGAAGGGUGGAUUACUGAGGGGAUGAGCAAUAAAGUGAAUAAGAGUGAGCCGGUUGAGAAGAAGACAGUGGGUGGAGGAAGACUCUCUCAAGCUAAAUUGAGAGAAAGGAGUAUGAAGGGUUAUGCUUUAAAUGUGGUGAAACAUGGGGAAAGAACCAUAUUUGCAAAUUGAAACACUUUCAAUUUGUAUUAUUGGAAGACUCUCAAGAGGAAGAGACGGAGGAUAGUGAGGGAGAGCAGGAAACGGUGGAUACUCUCACUAUUAAGGUCCUGCAGAUAUCAUUGAAAAGCAAGGAAGGGUUGACUUCUAAUCGAUCCUUCAAGGUGAUGGGGUGGCGAUUUUGUCCUUUCCAGAAAAUUGCAAUACUCAGCCUUGAGUUUGAUACGUUUCUUUGAGUGGGAAGAAUUAGCAGCUGAAAUUGAGAAGGAUGUGGAACUGAAUAAAAUUCUACAAGAUCUGUUGGUCAAGGAGGGAGAACACUCAGGGUAUAAGAUGAACAAUGGGAGGUUGUAUUAUCAUAACCGACUGGUGAUUCCUAAGGACUCACAGAAAAUCAUCAGCAUUUUGAAAGAAUUUCAUGAUACAGUUGUGGGAGAACACUCGGGAUACUUUUAGACCUACAAGAGGAUUUCAAACUUGUUCUUCUGGGAAGGAAUGAGGAAGAACAUUAAAGAGUAUGUGCAGAAAUGUGAUGUGUGUCAAAGAAACAAGUAUCAAACUCUAAGUCCAGCAGGUUUGUUACAAACCUUACCUAUUCCUAAACAUCAUUGGAGGUUUGCCCAAAGCAGGGGGAAUGGAUACAAUAUUAGUGGUGGUGGAUCAACUCACCAAAUAUGCCCACUUUAUUGCUUUGGCACAUCCUUAUAAUGCCAAAGAGGUUGCAAAGUUGUUUUUAAAGGAAAUGGUAAAACUUCAUGACUUUUCAGAAACCAUUGUUUCCUAUAGAGACCGGGUUUUUAUGAGCUCCUUCUGGACAAAAUUAUUUAAGUUGGUUGGAACCAAAUUGAAAUUCAGUUUUGCAUAUCAUCCGCAAACUGAUGGGCAAACGGAAGUGGUAAACAGAUGUUUGGAAACUUAUUUAAGAUGCAUGACUGGUGCCAAACCAAGACAGUCACAUAGGUGGGUUAGUUGGGCUGAAUAUUGGUUUAAUACAAACUAUCAUGAAGUCACUAGGAUGACACCUUUUAAGGCAAUGUAUGGAAGAGAUCCUCCUCCGGUGAUUAGGGGAGAUGUUGCAACAAUCUCAGUAGAUGAAGUAGCUGGGAUGAUACAAGACAGAAAUAAAAUGUUAGAUAUAUUGAAGGACCACCUGGUGCAGGACCAAAAUCGAAUGAAACAGCAGGCCGACAAAAGUAGAAGGGGAGUGGAGUAUAAGGUUGGGGAGAUGGUGUAUUUGAAGAUACAACCAUACAAAUUGAAGAAGUUGGCUAAGAGAAUUAAUCAAAAACUUAGCCCAACAUAUUAUGGUUCGUAUGAAAUUGUUGAGAAGAUUGGAAAAGUGGUGUAUAGAUUGAAAUUACCCGAGGAUAGCAAGGUGCAUCCAGUUUUUUAUGUGUCUUUGUUGAAACCCACUAUGACAGUUGAAGUUGUGGUUCAACCGUUACCACCAUAUGUGACCAAGGAAAUUGAGUUACAGCUAGAAGAUGUUUUAGCUAUGAGAGGAGAUAGCAAACAGUCAUUAGAGGUAUUAGUAAAGUGGAAGAACAUGCUAAAUUGUGAGAAUUCAUGGGAAUCUUUGAGCAAGAUGAUUGAAGCAUUUCCUGAUCUUCACCUUGAGGACAAGAUGAAUUUUAAAGAAGGUGGCUUUGAUAUGGGUGGCAUAUUAGGAAGACACAAAAGGUUUAUGAAAGAAAGAAGUGGAAACCAAUUGCAUGGUGACCACAAGCCCACGCAUGUUGAUUCUGAUACUAACAGAAUUGCCUAUAUGGCUUCUAGAAGGAGGAGGGAGAUCUUUGGUUUUGGGAGGCAGAGAGAGGGAGGGUUUAGAGGGGGAGGGCUGGUUGGAUUUUGGCAGGGAGAACCAGAUACUGAGAAGGCAGGGCCAUAGAAAGAGGUGAACCUGGUGAAUAUUCUUCUCGUGGUGUUGUUGGUAUAAAGGCUGCAGUUACAAGACGCCAAGCUGCCAGAGAGGAAACACCACUGAAUAA